UACGUAGGGGGCUAGCGUUGUCCUGAAUCAUUGGGCGUAAAGCGCGUGUAGGCGGUCCGGUAAGUCCGCUGUGAAAGUCGGGGGCUCAACCCUCGGAUGCCGGUGGAUACUGUCGGGCUUGAGUACGGAAGAGGCGAGUGGAAUUCCUGGUGUAGCGGUGAAAUGCGCAGAUAUCAGGAAGAACACCUAUGGCGAAAGCAGCUCUCUGGGACGGUACUGACGCUGAGACGCGAAAGCGUGGGGAGCGAACAGG
rnacentral:rRNA from 1 species